rnacentral:rRNA from 1 species
AGACCCGAAACCCGGUGAUCUAGCCAUGGGCAGGUUGAAGGUUGGGUAACACUAACUGGAGGACCGAACCGACUAAUGUUGAAAAAUUAGCGGAUGACCUGUGGCUGGGGGUGAAAGGCCAAUCAAACCGGGAGAUAGCUGGUUCUCCCCGAAAGCUAUUUAGGUAGCGCCUCGUGAAUUCAUCUCCGGGGGUAGAGCACUGUUUCGGCUAGGGGGCCAUCCCGGCUUACCAACCCGAUGCAAACUGCGAAUACCGGAGAAUGUUAUCACGGGAGACACACGGCGGGUGCUAACGUCCGUCGUGAAGAGGGAAACAACCCAGACCGCCAGCUAAGGUCCCAAAGUCAUGGUUAAGUGGGAAACGAUGUGGGAAGGCCCAGACAGCCAGGAUGUUGGCUUAGAAGCAGCCAUCAUUUAAAGAAAGCGUAAUAGCUCACUGGUCGAGUCGGCCUGCGCGGAAGAUGUAACGGGGCUAAACCAUGCACCGAAGCUGCGGCAGCGACACUGUGUGUUGUUGGGUAGGGGAGCGUUCUGUAAGCCUGUGAAGGUGUGUCGUGAGGCAUGCUGGAGGUAUCAGAAGUGCGAAUGCUGACAUAAGUAACGAUAAAGCGGGUGAAAAGCCCGCUCGCCGGAAGACCAAGGGUUCCUGUCCAACGUUAAUCGGGGCAGGGUGAGUCGACCCCUAAGGCGAGGCCGAAAGGCGUAGUCGAUGGGAAACGGGUUAAUAUUCCCGUACUUGGUGUUACUGCGAAGGGGGGACGGAGAAGGCUAUGUUGGCCGGGCGACGGUUGUCCCGGUUUA